rnacentral:rRNA from 1 species
AUUGAACGCUGGCGGCAGGCCUAACACAUGCAAGUCGAACGAGUGGCGGACGGGUGAGUAAUGUCUGGGAAACUGCCCGAUGGAGGGGGAUAACUACUGGAAACGGUAGCUAAUACCGCAUACCAUCGGAUGUGCCCAGAGUGGAUUAGCUAGUAGGUGGUGUAACUGCUCACCUAGGCGACGAUCCCUAGCUGGUCUGAGAGGAUGACCAGCCACACGGGAACGGAGACACGGUCCAGACUCCUACGGGAGGCAGCAGGGGGGAAUAUUGAACAAUGGGCGCAAGCCUGAUGCAGCCAUGCCGCGUGUAUGAAGAAGGCCUUCGGGUUGUAAAGUACUUUCAGCGAGGAGGCGUUACUCGCAGAAGAAGCACCGGCUAACUCCGUGCCAGCAGCCGCGGUAAUAC